rnacentral:lncRNA from 1 species
UUAUUGAUUUUUUUCCUCAUUGUUGUUGAGCCUGCGAUUUACAGCAAAAAUAGGCGAGACACUGGGUUCCACGGAACCCUUACAAAUUUUUUUCUCAAUAAAAAUUUAACUAGAAACUUCAGCUUCGACUUUUUGCCAUACACCUUUAUACAAUAUACAGUAUUAGCAGAUUAUAAAUAUGAAUUGGAUAUCUUAUGACUGCUUUGCCUGUUCUUACUUAUCCAUGUAAGUUAUUGCUGCAAAAUACAAAUUUGCUUUAAGUCAGCUUUAUUGUUGUUUAAGAAAAUUGCUUACAAGAUGCAUAAUGAUAAAUUAAGAUUUACAUUAAUUGCCUGUAUAAAUGCUUUAUAAGUUUGAACAAGAAUUUUAUUGUUAGCUAUUGUUUACAAAUACAAUGAACCUGAUAUGUUCAGGAAUUGUUGAAAAUAAUGGUAAAAAUGUAAACAAGGUUGUGUCAGUGUAUGUAUUGUAUUUCUGUUGUAAAUGCACAGAACUUUUGUGAAAUUUUUGUACACAGCUGGUUUGCAUUUUUGUUGAUAGAAGAUAUUUUGUACCAAUCCAUUUUUGAGUAGCUAUUUUUGAAAAAUUGAUUCAUUAGCAUGUAAAGUGAUUGUUUUGUAUAUGUUCAUAAUUAUUUAAUGAAAAUAAUUGUCAUUUGCAUAUGUUUAUAUGAGCUUUAAAGGGAAGACUGCAGUAUCUGUAUUUCAUUACAUUUUGAAUAUUGAUCUUUUUUGUAUGCUAAAUAUAUUUAUCAUAUUUGAUUUCUCUACAAUUAAUCUGACCUUGAACUACCAAUUAAUUGACCUUGAACUACAAUUAAUCGACCUUGAAAAGAGCUAUUAGUGACUGACUCUUUGUUAUUUAGCUGUAAACCUAACAAACUUUUCAUAUAGUUAUGUAACACUUUUAUCAGUACACAACACCAAAUAACUAAUUUCUGUAUAUUGUUGAUCUUAAAAAUUUCUUUAAAAAGAUAUACAUAGUAACUCAAAUGUUUAAAUGGUACCUGAAUCUCAUAUUUUGAAUAAGAAAAUAUACCCUUAUUUGAAUCAAUUUUAAGUCCGUGUAUGUAUUGAAUUCUCCACUGUUUUUCUACCCUAGCUUGAAUAAAC